GUAACGGAGGAUUAGGGUUCGAUUCCGGAGAGGGAGCCUGAGAAACGGCUACCACAUCUAGGGAAGGCAGCAGGCGCGUAAAUUACCCAAUCGCGACUCGCGGAGGUAGUGACAAGAGAUAACGGACCGAAGCCUAUGUUUCGGGACUGCAAUGAGUAGAAUUUAAACCCCUUUACGAGGAUCAAUUGGAGGGCAAGUCUGGUGCCAGCAGCCGCGGUAAUUCCAGCUCCAAUAGUGUAUAUUAAAGUUGUUGCAGUUAAAAAGCUCGUAGUUGGACUUCUGGGAGGGUGCCAAUGUCCGCUCGUUAGCGUGUGCAGCGGCGCCCUUCCAUCCUUCUGUUAACGUUUCUUGGUAUUCAGUUACUGGUUUCGGGCUCAGAUAUUUUACCUUGAGAAAAUUAGAGUGUUUCAGGCAGGCUUGCGCCGGAAUACAUUAGCAUGGAAUAAUAGAAUAGGACUUUAGUCUCCUCUGUUGGUUUGAGGGACUGAAGUAAUGAUUAAUAGGGAUAGUUGGGGGCAUUAGUAUUUAAUUGUCAGAGGUGAAAUUCUCGGAUUUGUUAGAGACUAACUUAUGCGAAAGCAUUUGCCAAGGAUGUUUU
rnacentral:rRNA from 1 species